AACGAACGCUGGCGGCAGGCCUAACACAUGCAAGUCGAGCGCGCCCUUCGGGGUGAGCGGCGGACGGGUGAGUAACGCGUGGGAACGUGCCCUUCUCUGCGGAAUAGCCUCGGGAAACUGAGAGUAAUACCGCAUACGCCCUUUGGGGGAAAGAUUUAUCGGAGAAGGAUCGGCCCGCGUUGGAUUAGGUAGUUGGUGGGGUAAUGGCCCACAAAGCCGACGAUCCAUAGCUGGUUUGAGAGGAUGAUCAGCCACACUGGGACUGAGACACGGCCCAGACUCCUACGGGAGGCAGCAGUGGGGAAUCUUAGACAAUGGGGGCAACCCUGAUCUAGCCAUGCCGCGUGAGUGAUGAAGGCCUUAGGGUUGUAAAGCUCUUUCAGCUGGGAAGAUAAUGACUGUACCAGCAGAAGAAGCCCCGGCUAACUCCGU
rnacentral:rRNA from 1 species